rnacentral:rRNA from 1 species
GUCAGGUAGAGAAUACCAAGGCGCUUGAGAGAACUCGGGUGAAGGAACUAGGCAAAAUGGUGCCGUAACUUCGGGAGAAGGCACGCUGAUAUGUAGGUGAAGUCCCUCGCGGAUGGAGCUGAAAUCAGUCGAAGAUACCAGCUGGCUGCAACUGUUUAUUAAAAACACAGCACUGUGCAAACACGAAAGUGGACGUAUACGGUGUGACGCCUGCCCGGUGCCGGAAGGUUAAUUGAUGGGGUCAGCGCAAGCGAAGCUCUUGAUCGAAGCCCCGGUAAACGGCGGCCGUAACUAUAACGGUCCUAAGGUAGCGAAAUUCCUUGUCGGGUAAGUUCCGACCUGCACGAAUGGCGUAAUGAUGGCCAGGCUGUCUCCACCCGAGACUCAGUGAAAUUGAACUCGCUGUGAAGAUGCAGUGUACCCGCGGCAAGACGGAAAGACCCCGUGAACCUUUACUAUAGCUUGACACUGAACAUUGAGCCUUGAUGUGUAGGAUAGGUGGGAGGCUUUGAAGUGUGGACGCCAGUCUGCAUGGAGCCGACCUUGAAAUACCACCCUUUAAUGUUUGAUGUUCUAACGUGGACCCGUGAUCCGGGUUGCGGACAGUGUCUGGUGGGUAGUUUGACUGGGGCGGUCUCCUCCUAAAGAGUAACGGAGGAGCACGAAGGUUGGCUAAUCCUGGUCGGACAUCAGGAGGUUAGUGCAAUGGCAUAAGCCAGCUUGACUGCGAGCGUGACGGCGCGAGCAGGUGCGAAAGCAGGUCAUAGUGAUCCGGUGGUUCUGAAUGGAAGGGCCAUCGCUCAACGGAUAAAAGGUACUCCGGGGAUAACAGGCUGAUACCGCCCAAGAGUUCAUAUCGACGGCGGUGUUUGGCACCUCGAUGUCGGCUCAUCACAUCCUGGGGCUGAAGUAGGUCCCAAGGGUAUGGCUGUUCGCCAUUUAAAGUGGUACGCGAGCUGGGUUUAGAACGUCGUGAGACAGUUCGGUCCCUAUCUGCCGUGGGCGCUGGAGAACUGAGGGGGGCUGCUCCUAGUACGAGAGGACCGGAGUGGACGCAUCACUGGUGUUCGGGUUGUCAUGCCAAUGGCACUGCCCGGUAGCUAAAUGCGGAAGAGAUAAGUGCUGAAAGCAUCUAAGCACGAAACUUGCCCCGAGAUGAGUUCUCCCUGACCCUUUAAGGGUCCUGAAGGAACGUUGAAGACGACGACGUUGAUAGGCCGGGUGUGUAAGCGCAGCGAUGCGUUGAGCUAACCGGUACUAAUGAACCGUGAGGCUUAACCUUACAACGCCGAAGGUGUUU